AUUGAACGCUGGCGGCAGGCUUAACACAUGCAAGUCGAGCGGGGUGAUGGUGCUUGCACUAUCACCUAGCGGCGGACGGGUGAGUAAUGCUUAGGAAUCUGCCUAUUAGUGGGGGACAACAUUCCGAAAGGAAUGCUAAUACCGCAUACGCCCUACGGGGGAAAGCAGGGGAUCUUCGGACCUUGCGCUAAUAGAUGAGCCUAAGUCGGAUUAGCUAGUUGGUGGGGUAAAGGCCUACCAAGGCGACGAUCUGUAGCGGGUCUGAGAGGAUGAUCCGCCACACUGGGACUGAGACACGGCCCAGACUCCUACGGGGGGCAGCAGUGGGGAAUAUUGGACAAUGGGCGGAAGCCUGAUCCAGCCAUGCCGCGUGUGUGAAGAAGGCCUUUUGGUUGUAAAGCACUUUAAGCGAGGAGGAGGAGCUCUAGGUUAAUACCCUAGAUGCUUGGACGUUACUCGCAGAAUAAGCACCGGCUAACUCUGUGCCAGCCGCCGCCGUAAGAC
rnacentral:rRNA from 1 species